rnacentral:rRNA from 1 species
GACAGAGGCCUCAAGCGUUAGGCGGAAUCACUGGGCUUAAAGCGUGUGUAGGCGGCUAGUUAAGUGUCUUGUGAAAUCCCACGGCUCACCCGUGGAACUGCUGGGCAUACUGGCGAUCUUGGGCCAACUAGGGGCAACUGGAACAAGCGGUGGAGCGGUGAAAUGCGUAGAUAUCGCGUGGAACGCCAAAGGUGAAAGCAGGUUGCUGGGGAUGGGCCGACGCUGAGACACGAAAGCCAGGGGAGCAAACGGG